CAUUUCCAGGUUGAGGGCAGAGUCGACGGCUUCAUUGGUGGGCCCAUCAGAGGUGGUUCUAUUGGGUCCAGAGCCACAGCUUGAGACACUCUGGGUUGAAGAUCUUUCAGACCGGCACAGGAACAUUUCCAUUUCAAAACGAAGACGCGCUGCCAUCUGAUGUUUGUGUCAAUGAGCAAGGCCAGCCUCCAUCUUCACAGCACCAGGUGGAGCCCUUGAAGAAACCUACCGGUGCAGGUUAAGAGGCGGAGGCUGAGCGUGGACUUCUUCAGAUGGACUCGGGGAAACCACCAGCAUUCUUUUACAAAAGACACAAUAUGGACGAAUAAACCUCAGGACUGCCAAAGCGCCGCUUUACCUCCCGCCCGUCCUCUCCUCUUCCUCUGAUCCAAUCAGAGAGAACAACCUCUCCUGCUUUCUACCUCCCAGACAAAUAGAGAAGGAAAAAAAAAAAAGAAAGAAGUGAAAGCAUUUUAUUAUUUGUUAUCUUUUUUUUUUUCUUCUCUCCGCGCAACAUUUCUCCAUUUACCUCAGGGAUUUUCUCUCCCACUGCCUACCUCCUCCACCGAAACAGCCGACCCCAGUGACUGGAACACCCGGCAGAAAACUCACCUGUGACCUCUCGCUGCUGUUACCAUGACAACCUGUAUUGCCUCUCGAGCUCUUCUCACUGCAGCCGUGACUAUCAGCAACGACCUCGGACCUCUCGCCACCCGCCAGCUCAGACCUGCUCGCUGCCUCCAUUGUACUGAUCCAUACUUGUAGCCUGGGUUGGUUAUUGCUGGACGGGGGGAAAAAUUAAAUAACGGUUGGGUGCUAGUUGCCAGAAAGCCAGCGCCGCACUCACAACAGCCUCACCCUAUCUCUACGAUACACCCGGCAGGAAACUAUAUACCUCAGCGACACACUCACUCAAGGAAACCGAAGGAAACCUUUUUAGCAACAGCAUUCAAUAUCCUGGUGCUUGAACCCAUUCCGGCAGGUAACGCACGCUCACAAGCCCCGGUGCUUCAAUCUACCCGGUAGACGACACUCCUUCAGCAUCUUCCAUUCGCCUCAGAGGCGGGAGUAUAGCAACAGUAGCCAGGGAGGCCUCCAGAGAAGCAGGGAGAGAGAGAGAGAGAGUGACUCAAGAGCGCUGCCCCGGCAGUCAACUUCAUUAAAUUUGUUUCCCCAUCAGAGUCGCAUCAUACACAAGCCUCUUGAUCCAAGAGCUAGCAUACAUCAGCAAUCGCCCAAGAAGCCUUUCGGGGAGAUCACAGCAGAGCCUCAGAAGUCCCCCCCCCCCCCCCCCUUUUUGCCUCGAGUGUCACCCACAUAAAGCCUCCAGAGAAGUCAUCCACCCACAGAGCAGGAGAAGUUCCUGAGGGGGCCUCAACAGCAAAGGAAGUAAAGGCUAAAGAACUCUCUGGCAGAUAGAUAUCAGAGCAUUGUGAACCGUAGAAAGUUAGAAGAGCCAAAUUCCGAGAACCGUAUUGUGUGACAGCGGAGAGGGAAAGGAGGGAGACGGCGUUCAGAGUACGGAGAAGGAUGCAGCGCUCGCUUAUGCUUCCACUGAUGUCCCGCCCACCGUGUUCCUCUCAGCCAACCGCUGCCCAGAUUCUCCGAUGGCUGUCUGUUGAAGGGGCCGCCGGCGAAUGCUGAGCAAGCUGGCGAGGUCGAGGUCCGCCUCAUUGUCCUGUGAUUGGCUGCCGGACGGGACUGAGGCUACAUGGAGCCAAUGUCCAACAAGCAGGAUAGCAACUCAUCAGAGGGAGACGAGAAAGGGUGAGACUGUGUGUGUGUGUGUGUGUGUGUGUGUGUGUGU